CAGGGGGCUGGUCGGUGCCCCCCAGUUCUUCAACCAAUCAGGGACAGAGGAGGGAAUUCGGAUGCUCUCAAUGCUGCUGCGCUCCAGUGCCUUCCCGCCCCCGCCUGGUGACAAGGCCUUCAUUUGAGGCCAUAACAAUGACAGUGGAGAAGCCCCAGCCGUGCUCCUUGCAUGAAUUCUGGAGCAGAGGAAAUGCAGCUCUUGUGGACCCACUAAAUUCACUCGAUACUUCAAGCAAGGAAUUCAGAAUACUUACAAGCAAAGAGAAAAGCAAAUUCUAAAGGACACAUUCGGUGAUGUGAUUCUAGAUCAAUAGAACAAAGAGAGAUCCAAGAAUUCAGAUUCCUAAAGAAGCGACAUUCAGAUUUAUUGUUAACUUGCCAAUGAACUUCCCACAGACAAGAACCAAAGCCAGCAGAACAAAGCAGCCCCAGAUGUGUUCUACUCUAUUAUCUGAAGUAAAUGAAAAUCAACCCUGAGGAAUGUGUAGACGGAAGCAGUUCAUCCUGGGAGGUGAGAAUGAGCAUUGAAAGAGCCAUCCGUGAAACCGUAAGGCUGGGAAAGAGAAGUGAAGGGGCACAUGGAAGUGUUCAUCUCUGGGGCAGGGAAAAAUAAUCCGGAGAAGAUGAGUCACACUUCAUUUGUAACCCAUGAAUGAAAAUCAAUACUGUUACCUAUCGUAAAUUACACUGAACAUAGUGCUUACACUUGAGUAGCAAUGCAGUAAAACCACUAUGAGCCAACUGAUUGACUUUUCUAGAUCCCAAUUCUAUCAUUCAUCUUCUGGUAUUCAUCUUCUGGCUUAGCUACUGUUUCCUGGCACAGAUUCUUAAUAAAG
rnacentral:lncRNA from 1 species